CCAUUUGAAAAGGAAGUUCAGCUUUUUCGUUGUUAUUUUGAUUCAAUUUAACUUAACAAUUGUUAGUUUUUUUGUUUAUUUGUGUUUAAUUUUGCUUUUGAUUACUCUGUGCACCUGAUGAUUUCAUCAAGUGGUUUGAUUUUCAUUUCUAUCAAAAACAAUCUAGAGAUCCACAGGAUAAAAAAAAUCUAUUUUAUUCCAGUGGCCUUACUCUUGAAUGCCGUUAACCCGAUCUUGAUAAGAGUAUCUGCAAGGAAUUAAUCCAUUUAUCGAGUAUGACCCGUUGGGAGAUCAGUAUCGCUAUUCCAAUAAUAUGGUGAAACAAAAAAGUCUUUCUGAAUGUGUUGAUUUUUUUCGGCAACACUUUUUUUCUGAAGAUGAUCGAUGUCUUAAUUGAGAUUGAAGGUUAUCAAAUUGAUAUGAAAAAUUGGAAUCAUCAAAGUUGAAAAAAUGGAUCAAAGGUAAAAAAAUCAUGAGAAUCUAAUAGGAAAUGAGCUAUUUUCUGACUUGAAAUUAUAUUUAAUCAACUGCCAAACAGCUUGAAAAAAAGCGACGCCAUUGUUUUGUAUCUCUCUUACUGUGCUUUUUUGUUGUUGUUGGUACACUAUUUUCCCUCAAUCAAACCGUUUCCAUCUUAAUCAAUCUUUCUGUUGAAAUUUCUAAUUGUACAAAUUAAAUGGUACAAUGAACAAAUUAUCAUCUUAAUGUGAUUCCAAUCAAAGAGCCACCUUCUUUAAUGGGCCACCAUUCAAAGUAAUGUCGUAAAUGAAAGUCCUGUUUUUGCCUCGGUCAAGUGCCUGUUUCCCAUGUUAAUCAAUGUCAAUGAUUCUGAAAUGUUAGCAUUUAAAGAUUUACCAUUCAAAGCUGAUAAACCAGGAGAAUCAGGGAAAAAAAACAAGUCAACAGUCAUCUUUAAUUUCACCAACAUUGAAAAGUGUAUAUUUUCAUCUCAUCUCAAGGAUAAAAUAAUAUUGUCUGUUGGUCACUCUGAUUUGGUGUAUUUCUCGCUCCUUUAAUUCAUGUUACUUUUUUAUCUGUAUCAUUACUGACCAAAAAAAACAAAAAACAGUCAACAAGUAAAAAUAGCCAACUCUGCCAUCAUCUCUAUCACCAGCAACAAAACAACAAAAGUGGAAGCAAAAAAGACUUGAUUUUCUCGCUUUCUCAUUUAUUUAUUUCAAGGUUUCAUAAGCAAUAUAAAAUCCUAACCCAAAUCUCACAGGAAACUUAUUAGACUCUGAAGUGAAGCGAUCUAACCAGCUAAAGGUGAAGAGGCAAGAAGUGAAUUUAAUAAGGUAAAGAGAGAGAGAAGAAGAAAGGUGAAGAUAAGACAUUUGUCAGAAGACGAGUGAAUUAAAGCAACAAUGAGACCGAGACGAUGGUUAGCGUAGGUUAACGUAAAUACAUGUUACAUCUAGCUUCAAUCUUCAUAUUUACCUUUCCUUUCUCUCUAUCAAUCAUCAUUUUCAUCAUCUUCCAGCCAUUCCAGCCACACAUUUACCCUCUGUAACCUAAACAAUCACAACUAUCUGUGACCGGAAGAUUUCACCUCAAGAUUGUAUCAAAUAACAUAAAAGUUGAUUUGAUCAAUCAAUAUUUGCUUUCAUACUUUUGAUAAAUUGUGAUACUUAACAGUUGAGACUUUUCAAUCAUUAUACCGGCAACAAUCACCAUUAUAAUGUAUUAUCAUAAUCAUUUGUUAAACGGAAAAGUGUGUGUAUUAAUUUGUAGGUAACACACUUAAGAUGAAUGUGUUUUUUUUAUAUUUGCUUGCUUGCCUGUUUACGGCAACUCUUUUUUUUCAAUACACUGUACAUUUAUUUACCAUUUUAUAUUUCUUUGUCUGUUUAAACCGUCAAUCAAAAUUGAUGAACACACACAUUAAAAGCUCUCAUUUCUGUCACUUUA